GACAGAGGCCUCGAGCGUUAGGCGGAAUCACUGGGCUUAAAGCGUGUGUAGGCGGAUCGUUAAGUGCCUUGUGAAAUCCCACGGCUCAACCGUGGAACUGCUUGGCAUACUGGCGGUCUUGAGCCAUCUAGGGGUUGCUGGAACAAACGGUGGAGCGGUGAAAUGCGUAGAUAUCGUUUGGAACGCCAAUGGUGAAAACAGGCAACUGGGGAUGUGCUGACGCUGAGACACGAAAGCCAGGGGAGCAAACGGG
rnacentral:rRNA from 1 species